UAGACUUUUUGCAGCUUUGCCGUGCAACGGUGACGGAAAAUCCGCCUGACCUCGUUAGUAGAGCGAGAAGUUCUAUCACCAACUUUUCUCGCCAAAUAUCAGGAAGAUCAAGCAAGAAAAGAGAUCUUUCUGGCCAGGAGUUGGGGUACUGUCAUAAACUGAACUGCCAUUUUUUUUUAGAAAUUUUUUUUGGUGGAGUGAGUAUUAAAAUUAAGAGCAGAUGAAUUUAUAGAAAACAAUGGGUGGAUACAAACUAAUUUAUGCAGUUCCAUCUAUAUUUGAAUAUUAAAUUGUUCCCCGAAUCUUCCAUGACCUCUCUACAACCCUAUAUUGUAAGUUCUAACGCUUCCAUCUAGCUUUACACCAUUUUUCAAAGAGGUGGUCAAUGAUGUUUGAUUAUUUUUGUGCCCAAAAUGUGGUCAGUCUAUCUAUGACUAUGACAAUGUCUUGCUUUCAUGUUCUUUCUACUUUGGUUUUCCAUUCAAGAAUCAGAAUUCUCUCGCAGAACAACAUGAUUGUAAAUACAUAACAAGGGAAAGUCGAUGAUUUUCAACGCACUGCCAAAUGAAGCAUCAGAGAUAUUUAAGCAAAUGGAUCGUGUUGAACAUCUGAUUGGAGUCCGGCAUAUAGCUUAGAUAUAUCGAUUCUACAUGUGAGUGUUGAUAUACCUAGCACUAUCCAAUGCAUCCUUCUUAUUUUGCAGAGUAAGUUCAGACACUAGAAGGUCCUUGCGAGCUCAUCGAGAGAGCACCACAUAUUCUCGGACACCAAAUAGGGUUUGUGCAGGGAAGAUGCUUUGAACUAUCAGGACAGUACCUUGGUCCACCAAACAUUCCGUCAAGUUGAAAGAGGAAAUGAGAUGAAUUUGGUAAGCUUUUCUUAUUUAUUCAUUUUCUAUUUGCAGUUUUGAGUCUUCAGUGGUAGUUGCAUGUGAUUUUAGCCGCUCAACCAAAGCGUAUCCUCAUAAGGUGCGACCUUCUACUGAGAGAGAGAGAGAGAGAGAGAGAGAGAUAACUUUUUCAUCUACCAUUCAAGAUAAAGAUGUCUGCGCGUGCAUGUCUGCUUGCAGUUCCAUCGGAAGGACCUAUUCACGCUUAGGUCAUGGUUCGCACUUUAGAAUAGUUUAUAUAUUUAUUACCAACUUAAUAGGUUAAUUAAAUCGAGGAAUAUUAAAAAUUCGCGUCAUUGACACGUUGAGGAAAAUGAAGAUUGCAGCUGCGGAAAAAUGAUUUCCUUGGUGUAAGCUUCCGACAUGAGUUUGAUUUUGAGGAGUACAUUGUCAAAAGUAAGAGCUAAAUGCCUUUUUGACGAAUCCUUGUUUUUGCAUUUAACAAAAGUAUGUGGUCCCUGAACUUGUUGUGUUUUUUCAGUUUAGUCCUCAGAGUGCUUUUUUGACUUGGGUUGCCCGAACUUCCUAAAAUUUCUACACUAGCUCAGAAAAAUGAUAGCACAGACAAAAGAGAGAUUAUUUGUGGAUUGGCUUUCAAUUAGUAUAUUGAUUAUGACAGAGAAGUUCGUAAGUUAAACAAUGGCUAGCCAAAUAGAGGGGGAGAGAUUUUUUGAGCGAAAAAUUGCCUGAAAAGUUAAAAACCUAUUGCAUUUUUAUCAAUUUAGUCAUAAUCCUUUUGAUUGUGUUAAUUGAAUUCAUUUGGCCAAUUUGGCCAAAAAUCAAUGACAUGAGUGCCGAUCGUCCUAUAUGGCACAACCAUUAUUGACAUGGACAAUUUUUAGUAAUAUUUUAAAUUUUUUGAAUUUUUUAUAUUUUGUUUUUUUUUUCUUUCUUUUUCCUUCUUUUUUCACCGGUCAUUGAGCCUCGGCAACUAGCCAGAGGCAACCACCGGCGAGGGUUGCCCUUGCCAAAGGCCAACGAGGACCGAGCUGCUAGAGUAAGAGGUGCAAGCGGGAUUACUCAUCUUGCAAGCCAUUUGAUUCCAAAUCAGCUUUCAAGGAGAGAAGCUUGAGCAACGGUUCCUCAUCUGAUUUGGGGGAAGAGAUGUGGCGACUGAGGCUUGUUCAGCGUAAGUUGACCUACCUGGAGUCACUUGGUCCUCGCUCGGCCUUGGAGUCGGUCCUCACUCUGCCCUCGCUGGCCUCAGGUGACCCUCACUGGUAGUUGCUUUUGGCCGGUUGCUGGCCAUCACCGAGGCCCGACAAUCGGCGGAAGAAGAAGGAAAAAAAAAAGAAAGAGAAAAAAGUAAAAUAAAUAGAAAAUUAAAAAAAAAAAAUAUAUAUAUAUAUAUAUAUAUAUAUAUAUUAUCUAAAAUUGUUCACAUCAUCGUGUUUGUCCUAAGUGGAACAACUAACAAUGUCCAUAUCAACGAUUUCAAAUUAAAAUUGGUUGAAUGGACUCAAUUAAUAAAACGUGAAAAUGUUAAGAGUUUAAUUGACAUAACUAAAAGGUUUAGGUAUGAAUUAAUAAAAAUGUGAUGGGUUUAUGAUUUUUCAAAUAAUUUUUCUGUUUUUGAGUGGUUUUUAAACAACUGUACAUUGUUGAUUACAUUCACCGUUAAAAAGUUAUUAUGCGAAGAGCAAUAUUUUCCUCCAACUUUGGUUGAAGAAAAAUCUCUCCAACCUUAUCUUUGAUGGGGGUUACAAGUUGUAGACACGACUUAUAUGAAAAUUUAACUAAAAUUAAAUAAAGGUAAUGUCCAUGCCUAGAAGCCACCAAUCAAAAUAUGUGGCGGGAUAGUUGGAGGAAAAACACGACUUUUCCAUAAUUAAAAAUUAUUCUUUUCCUUUCGUGUUCGACACACCCUUUUAGGUGGUACAAAGGGAAAACCAUGAUUUGCUCUAGUAGACAUUCUGGCCCACAUUACAUAUGAGAGAACCAUUUAUUUGUAACCGCGGUUGGGAAGAUAGCGUUCUGUUGUUCAGUUCUGAUAUCUUUCUUAAGCUCCUUGGGAGUUUUUUCUUGAAAAGAAGCUCAACCAAGAUUCCGGUAUUACUCUCUCCUCCUUUCUGGAUAGGCAGUUGUGAGAACUCAAGCUUAAUAAUUCGUGCUAACACUGGAUGCAGAUUGUUAAUGGAAGGCUCAUCCUGGCAUAUUUGCAGAAGCUAGAGGACCUAGAGAGGCUGCUGACUCGUGAGAAAAUGAGCAGCGCUACUUUCGCUUGAUUUGGCGCUCUUCCGAAGGCACCAAAAGCAAAACUGAAGCAUUGGUCUAGUUUGCAUGUAUCUCCAGUGAUAGUGAAGUUUGCUCAAGUUUUAACAUAACAAGAGCACGAUUUUUAGGAGGCGAUGCCGAUACAAAUGCAUUUUCGGUGCAGUAAUUUGUUUCGGUGGUUGGGUUUUUAGAGUUCAAGAAAUAAUUU
rnacentral:lncRNA from 1 species